rnacentral:rRNA from 1 species
AUUUAACGAUGGUGGCAUGCCUUACACAUGCAAGUCGAACGGUAACAGGUUAAGCUGACGAGUGGCGAACGGGUGAGUAAUGUAUCGGAACGUGCCCAGACGCGGGUGAUAAUUGCUCGUAAGAGCAGCCAAUACCGCAUACGACCUGAUGGUGAACUCGGGGGAUCUCAAGCCCUCACGCGAUUGGAGUGGCCGACAUCAGAUUAGGUAGUUGUUGUGGUAAAGGCUCACCAAGCCGACGAUCUGUAGCUGGUCUGAGCGGGCGACGAGCCACACUGGGACUGAGCCACGGCCCAGACUCCUACGGGAGGCAGCAGUGGGGAAUUUUGGACAAUGGGCGCAAGCCUAGUCCAGCCAUGCCGCGUGCGGGAAGAAGGCCUUCAGGUAGAAAUCCGCUUUUGUCAGGGAAGAAAAGGUUCUGGCUAAUACCUGGGACUCAUGACGGUACCUGAAGAAUAAGCACCGGCUAACUACGUG